CAAGGCAGGGUCCUGGGCUGCGUUUGGAGCGGGUUAAAAGGCAGCCCUGGGGCCUGGGCUUUUGGCCUCGAAUCAAGAUGAACGUUACACGCACGGAGGCUUGAGAGCAGGCAGUUUAAGGCAUGAAGUCCCUACUCAUGCAUGAACAGCUCUUUUAACUUUGGGGUGUAUCAUUUUCAGGGUAUUGCAGGUUCCGACGGUCUUCCUGGGGAUAAAGGAGAACUGGGUCCCAGCGGCCUGGUCGGACCCAAAGGAGAGUCUGGCAGUCGAGGGGAGCUGGGCCCCAAAGGCACCCAGGGUCCCAACGGCACCAGCGGUGUUCAGGGUGUCCCCGGGCCCCCCGGUCCUCUGGGCCUGCAGGGUGUCCCGGGUGUUCCUGGCAUCACGGGGAAGCCGGGAGUUCCGGUACGUCACUGUCCCAGCUUUCACAGGGUUGGGAUCGUGUUUUUUCCUGAAGGAAGUUACUUUGCGGGGUGAUGGUGGGAAUGCCUUACAGAGGCUGCCGCCCCCAUGCUGACGAAUGUGUGGGGUGAAUUCCAGGGGAAGGAGGCCAGCGAGCAGCGCAUCAGGGAGCUGUGUGGGGGGAUGAUCAGCGAACAAAUUGCACAGUUAGCCGCGCACCUAAGGAAGCCUUUGGCACCCGGGUCCAUUGGCCGGCCCGGUCCAGCUGGCCCCCCUGGA
rnacentral:sRNA from 1 species